UUCCUUCUAUGUUGUCAUGUUUUUAGUGUGUUCUAUGUUACUUUCAUGUGUGCUGAGCAAAUGACUAGUUCUCAGUUGGAGUCAUUUUGUUACCAUUGAAUUUAUUGAGAUAACACAAGUUUGGUGUUAAAUUUUUCAUUGUUGUAUUUUUCAACCUGUUUUUAUUUAACGGAGAAUUUUAUUACAUAGCGCCUUACCAUUUCUUACAGUGUAGACUGAUAUGCAUUGUUGGUAAAGAGGUUAUAUGUAUUUGAGAACUAAUUCCGGUGUAUUUUCAGCCAUAGUAUUGAGUGGGUUGAGGACUCUGUGGUGAAAUGGACAUCUAAGACAUACAAUCUCUGAAAAUGAAUUGCUGGAAGCACCCUCUGUACAUGUAAGGACCACCAAGUGUGAGUAAAGCACAGAGUAAAUUGUGUAGUGUUAACACAGUGUCAAGAUAAUUGAAAAAGACAGUGAAUUCUUGUGAGUACAGAAAAUCCGCUUUGUGUUAAUCAUCCGUGAAAGCUACAGAGUUAUAUUUUCUUGAGACAUUCUCGUCAAGUAUCAUCAAGUAUUUUAUUUUGAGCAUUGCUAUGAGUACUUUGUGAAUUGAAAGUUUGUAUUGUCCUCUUUAGAGAUACUUAAUUUUCUGAGUGAGUCACCGAUACUACUGCCGAUUAUUUAUUUUGCCAUAGUAUUGAGUGGGUUGAGGACUCUGUGGUGAAAUGGACAUCUAAGACAUACAAUCUCUGAAAAUGAAUUGCUGGAAGCACCCUCUGUACAUGUAAGGACCACCAAUUGUGAGUAAAGCACAGAGUAAAUUGUGUAGUGUUAACACAGUGUCAAGAUAAUU